GACGAACGCUGGCGGCGUGCCUAAUACAUGCAAGUCGAGCGCAGGAAACUGACGGAACUCUUCGGAGGGAAGGCAGUGGAAUGAGCGGCGGACGGGUGAGUAACACGUAAGGAACCUGCCUCAAGGAUUGGGAUAACUCCGAGAGAUCGGAGCUAAUACCGGAUAGUUCAUCGGACCGCAUGGUCCGUUGAUGAAAGGCGCUCCGGCGUCACCUUGAGAUGGCCUUGCGGUGCAUUAGCUAGUUGGUGGGGUAACGGCCCACCAAGGCGACGAUGCAUAGCCGCCCUGAGAGGGUGAUCGGCCACACUGGGACGGAGACACGGCCCAGAGUCCUACGGGAGGCAGCAGUAGGGAAUCUUCCACAAAGGACGAAAGGCUGAUGGAGCAACGCCGCGUGAGUGAUGAAGGUUUUCGGAGCGUAAAACUCUGUUGUAAGGGAAGAACACGGACGAGAGGGAAUGCUCGUACCUUGACGGUACCUUACGAGAAAGCCACGGCUAACUACGUGCCAGCAGCCGCCGUAAUAC
rnacentral:rRNA from 1 species